rnacentral:rRNA from 1 species
GGUUAAGCGACUAAGCGUACACGGUGGAUGCCCUGGCAGUCAGAGGCGAUGAAGGGCGUGCUAAUCUGCGAUAAGCGCCGGUAAGGUGAUAUGAACCGUUAUAACCGGCGAUACCCGAAUGGGGAAACCCAGUGUGAUUCGUCACACUAUCAUUAACUGAAUCCAUAGGUUAAUGAGGCGAACCGGGGGAACUGAAACAUCUAAGUACCCCGAGGAAAAGAAAUCAACCGAGAUUCCCCCAGUAGCGGCGAGCGAACGGGGAGGAGCCCAGAGCCUGAAUCAGCAUGUGUGUUAGUGGAAGCGUCUGGAAAGGCGCGCGAUACAGGGUGACAGCCCCGUACACAAAAGCGCAUGUGCUGUGAGCUCGAUGAGUAGGGCGGGACACGUGGUAUCCUGUCUGAAUAUGGGGGGACCAUCCUCCAAGGCUAAAUACUCCUGACUGACCGAUAGUGAACCAGUACCGUGAGGGAAAGGCGAAAAGAACCCCGGCGAGGGGAGUGAAAAAGAACCUGAAACCGUGUACGUACAAGCAGUGGGAGCACCCUUUGGG